rnacentral:lncRNA from 1 species
CAGCUCAGCAAGCAGGAGUAUUACAGCUCUUUUGCUACUGCAGUUUGGUGAGUUCUGGGUUCUUGUCCUGCGACCAAGAGGAAUAAGGGGAAGCCAGCUGCCAUGUUGUGAGCAACCCUAUGGAGAGACCCUCGUGGUGGGCACUGAGGCCUCUGCCAGCAAUAAGCUGAGGAGCAGAUCCUUUAUCCCACUCAAGCCUUUGGAUGACUUCAGCCUUUGCCAAGACCUUUGAGUGCAACCAUAUGAGAUAACCCAAGCCAGAAGCACUAGCUAAGCCACUCCUGGAUCCCUGCUCCUCAAAGAUUCUGUGACAUAAUAUACGUAUUUUUAAUUUAAAGUACAACACUUUGGGGGUGACUUGUUAUGCUGCAAUAGAUAACUAACAUGACCAUAUAACAAUAGGAAUAAUAACCAACAAAUCAGGUCCCUUUUCUUCAUCAGAAGGAUUUCAUGAUAUUGCUCAGGUCUAGACUUGGGUAUGGCGAUUCCAAUGGAGUGACUUCAUCCUUCUGACUCAGCAUCUAACUUCUGAUGCUACAUUGUCCAUUUACUGGAAAACUUGUUGCUUAUUCCAUGUUGCCUUCAUUAAUUGCCACUACUGAUACCUAGUACACCAGUCUCAAGAGCAGCUAUUCAGAAGACAAAGGUCUCUGAUAGAAACAGAUGUUCUGUUCAUCUUUUUUGCUGCUUAUAUUAAACCAUUGCAACAGAUUUGUUGCCUUGAUUCUGAUUGUAGAUGUUUUGCACAAAUUAUAUCCCUUUUUAAGUGGCAACAACCACUCCUAGAAUACAUACACAGCAUGAUCAAACCCUCAUCAUUUACACCUCAGUCCUGAGCCACUUGUUUUUUUUUGCUUUUUGUUUUAUGUUUUUUUUUUUGAGACGGAGCUCGCUUUGUUGUCCAGGGUGGAAUGCAGUGGCGCGAUCUCGGCUCACUGCAAGCUCCGCCUCCCGGGUUCACGCCAUUCUCCUGCCUCAGCCUCCCAAGUAGCUGGGACCACAGGCGCCCGCC